UGCAGUCGAGCGGAUGAAGGGGGCUUGCUCUCUGAUUCAGCGGCGGACGGGUGAGUAAUGCCUAGGAAUCUGCCUAUUAGUGGGGGACAACGUUUCGAAAGGAACGCUAAUACCGCAUACGUCCUACGGGAGAAAGCAGGGGACCUUCGGGCCUUGCGCUAAUAGAUGAGCCUAGGUCGGAUUAGCUAGUUGGUGAGGUAAAGGCUCACCAAGGCGACGAUCCGUAACUGGUCUGAGAGGAUGAUCAGUCACACUGGAACUGAGACACGGUCCAGACUCCUACGGGAGGCAGCAGUGGGGAAUAUUGGACAAUGGGCGAAAGCCUGAUCCAGCCAUGCCGCGUGUGUGAAGAAGGUCUUCGGAUUGUAAAGCACUUUAAGUUGGGAGGAAGGGCAGUAAGUUAAUACCUUGCUGUUUUGACGUUACCGACAGAAUAAGCACCGGCUAACUUCGUGCCAGCAGC
rnacentral:rRNA from 1 species